UCUCAGCCUUUAUCUCCCCAG
rnacentral:miRNA from 1 species